rnacentral:rRNA from 1 species
UAGUACGCAAGGAAUGGUCUCAGCGAUGCUCGACUAUAUUGGCCCCAUCGACGUAAUCAACUUCUGGCUGCUGCAAAGAAGGAAAACAAAAGGUUUAGGGAUUAACAAAG